rnacentral:rRNA from 1 species
UACGAAGGUCCCAAGCGUUAUCCGGAUUUAUUGGGUUUAAAGGGUGCGUAGGCGGCCCGUUAAGUCAGUGGUGAAAGCCUCCAGCUCAACUGGAGAACUGCCAUUGAUACUGGCGGGCUUGAGUACAGACGAGGUAGGCGGAAUUGAUUGUGUAGCGGUGAAAUGCAUAGAUACAAUCAAGAACACCGAUUGCGUAGGCAGCUUACUAGGCUGUAACUGACGCUGAGGCACGAAAGCGUGGGGAGCGAACAGG